UUAUUAUGAGAGUUUGAUCCUGGCUCAGGACGAACGCUGGCGGCGUGCCUAAUACAUGCAAGUCGAACGCUUCUUUCCUCCCGGAGCUUGCUCCACCGGAAAAAGAGGAGUGGCGAACGGGUGAGUAACACGUG
rnacentral:rRNA from 1 species